rnacentral:rRNA from 1 species
UGGGGAAUAUUGCACAAUGGGCGCAAGCCUGAUGCAGCAACGCCGCGUGAACGAUGAAGGUCUUCGGUUCGUAAAGUUCUGUUGCAGGGGAAGAUAAUGACGGUAACCGGCGAGGAAGCUCCGGCCAACUACGUGCCAGCAGCCGCGGUAAUACGUAGGGGGCUAGCGUUAUCAGGAAUUACUGGGAGUAAAGGGUGCGUAGGUGGUCUUUCAGGUCGGUGGUUAAAGGCUACGGCUCAACCGUAGUUAGCCUCCGAAAGUGGAAGAAUUAAGUGCAGGAGAGGAGAGUGGAAUUCCCAGUGUAGCGGUGAAAUGAGUAGUUAUUGGGAGGAACAACAGUAGCGAAGACGGCUUUCUGCACUGCAACUGACACUGAGGCACUAAAGCGUCGGUAGCAAACAGG